rnacentral:lncRNA from 1 species
GAGUGUGGGCGGGGACUGAGGGAAGAAGAGAAAAACUGACUGCCAGGCGACAGUUCCUCCGUUUGAAAUCUCGCCGGCUCCUGAGCGGGCCACCGGGCCCGGGCUGGGGGUCUGGCGGAGAAAUAAUUUUAUUUGGACUGACAGCUGGAGAACAAGAAUAGGACCUGAGACAGCAUAUUGGGCUAAGGAGGAGAGGUGAGGUUCCAAAACGGCAGUCAAAGCUCAUCAACCGAACGGACUCUACUUCCCAGCAACCUUGCACUUAGUGCAACCAACAGAAGGCCUGCUGGGGAAUGUAUUUGCCACUGAAUUCCCCAAGUAUGCCAACAUUACAAAAAAAGAUAGAGGUUUUUCAUCAUAAUUAAAUUUCCACAAACCUCCCCAAUCACAAGUAUUAUAAGCAGAAGUAAAAAAAAUCACAUUUUACAGAUCUCAAACUUGUCUUCAACAUUUAGUUCAUCGUCUUCAAAAAAAUAGCUCCCCUGCUAAACUCAUUAACUGUAUGAUCUAUCCAAGCAGCAAGAAGAUGGCCAGGCCAUGGCAAUCCUCUUCCCAUUUUCCCUAGCCACUCAGGGCUCAACAGCAGGGUAAGGCUCAGGUGCGGAUAGCGGGUGGGGAGCACAAGGGCUACUCUCCCCCAGUGCAGCAUGGCAUCUGAAGCUUGAUGGGGAAAGCACAACUGGUGAGACUUGAGGGAAGGGUCCAGGGCCUGUAUUUAGUCAGAGUCACUGCUGGAAGAGGAGGAGGAAUGCUUGCCAGGCUUGUGGUGCUUGUGCAUCUUUUUAUGAGCUUUCUUCAUUUUCUUCUGCCUCUUCUUGUCCACCAUCACUGCUGGUCUGACCAUGCCAGGAGCCAAGGGAUUCGCAGGAGGGAUUCCAGGGGCAGGUGGUGGGUAUGGAGGAGGGUAGGGACCCGAAGGUUGGCAUCCUGGAUACCCUGGCUGUGGCACAGGAUGAGGGGCCCCAUGUUGGGGGAAAGCUGGAUUGCCCUGGGGAGCUCCUGGGGGAGGAGGACACGGGCUUGGGGGAAAGGGUGGAUUGAUAGGUGGUGGGUGGGCAGGAUUGGAACCUCCAGGGCACCUAGUGCUGAGGGGGAUAUGGAUUUGACCCUGGGUGUCCGGCGUUGGGAUUCCACAUGUUUAGGUGUGUCCUCCAGCCUUUCCACGGCCCCCUGGGCUUGAUGCAUUCUCCCAGAUCCUAACCUUUUUAAUGGCUGGGCCUUUCUGCUUGAAGAGGGCCAUUUCAUCCUUGCUGCUCUAGGAGGAACAGUGGCAGCUUUUGAGGAGGUAGGGACUGGAGAGGUCAGGACUUGUGGCUGCAGACUCCUGUUGGUCACAUCUGGUGUGGCCAACUGCUCUGCAGGUCGGGGAGGUGCUCUGAGCAGGGCUGUGUGUGGCAGCAGUUUCCCAGGCGACCUGCUUCAUUCAUUAGGCUGCAGCACGGGAGCUGCCAUGGGGAGAGUUGGUGGGAACUGGGGUCCUGAGGUAGGGGUGGGAAGAGAGGAGCAAUUCUAGAAGUGCACCGACUUGUCAGUUGAAGAAUUUGGUGCCGCCCCAUCCCUGGAGCUAGAAACCUUGGGUUCUGUCUUAGCUUGGGCUGCCAUAACACAAUACUGUAGACUAGGGGGCUCAAACAGCAGAAAUCUCUUUUCUCAUAGUUUUGGAAGCUAGAAGGCCCAUAUCAAGGUCUCUUCUGGGUUCCUGCCUUGCAGACAGCUGCCUUCUUGCUGUGUCCUCAUAUGGCAGAGACAGAGCUCUAAGCCACUAGGCAGUGGGCCCCAUCUGCCACUCUGGUUCCUGGUCCUUUCUCUCUUUCUCUCUUUUUAAUCCUAUCAGGCCAUUUAACCUUAAUGACCUCAUUUAACCUUAAUUACCUCCUAAAGAUCCAGUCACAUUGUGGAUUAGGGCUUCAAUAUGUGAAUUUUUCUUACUUUGAGAGGCUGAGGCGGGAGGAUUGCUUGCACCCAGGAGUUCAAGACCAGCCUGGGCAACAUAGUGAGACACCAUCUCUGUAAAAAAAAAAAAAAAAAAAAAAA